AUUGAACGCUGGCGGCGUGCCUAACACAUGCAAGUCGAGCGGUAACAGGUGUAGCAAUACAUGCUGACGAGCGGCGGACGGGUGAGUAACGCUUGGGAAUCUGCCUAUUAGUGGGGGACGAACCCGGGGAAACGUCGGGCGUAAUACCGCAUACGCUCUACGGAGGAAAGACCGGGGACCGGCAAGGCCUGGCGCUAAUAGAUGAGCCCAAGUCGGAUUAGCUAGUUGGUAGGGUAAUGGCCUACCAAGGCGACGAUCCGUAACUGGUCUGAGAGGACGACCAGUCACACCGGAACUGAGACACGGUCC
rnacentral:rRNA from 1 species